rnacentral:rRNA from 1 species
GUUUGAUCAUGGCUCAGGAUGAACACUAGCGGGAGGCUUAACACAUGCAAGUCGAGGGGCAUCACGAGGUAGCAAUACUUUGGUGGCGACCGGCAGACGGGUGAGUAACGCGUAUGCAACCUACCCUGUACAGGGGGAUAACCCGGAGAAAUUCGGACUAAUAUCCCAUAAUAUUAUUUGGAGGCAUCUUCGGAUAACUAAAGUUCCGGCGGUACGGGAUGGGCAUGCGUAACAUUAGCUAGUUGGUAAGGUAACGGCUUACCAAGGCUUUGAUGUUUAGGGGUCCUGAGAGGGUGAUCCCCCACACUGGUACUGAGACACGGACCAGACUCCUACGGGAGGCAGCAGUGAGGAAUAUUGGUCAAUGGGCGCAAGCCUGAACCAGCCAUCCCGCGUGCAGGAAGACGGCCCUAUGGGUUGUAAACUGCUUUUCCAGGAGGAGAAACUUGCGUACGCGUCACGCAAUUGACGGUACCCUGGGAAUAAGCAUCGGCCAACUCCGUGCCAGCAGCCGCGGUAAUACGGAGGAUGCGAGCGUUAUCCGGAUUCAUUGGGUUUAAAGGGUGCGUAGGCGGACUAUUAAGUCAGUGGUGAAAUCCUGCAGCUUAACUGCAGAACUGCCAUUGAUACUGAUAGACUUGAGUUUGGUUAAGGUAGGCGGAAUGUGUAAUGUAGCGGUGAAAUGCUUAGAUAUUACACAGAACACCAAUUGCGUAGGCAGCUUACUGAGCCGAUACUGACGCUGAGGCACGAAAGCGUGGGGAUCGAACAGGAUUAGAUACCCUGGUAGUCCACGCCGUAAACGAUGAUUACUCGCUGUUGGCGAUACACUGUCAGCGGCUAAGCAAAAGCAAUAAGUAAUCCACCUGGGGAGUACGGC